AGGUCUAGUGAAAACGAACAACACAUCCAAGAAGGACGUGUAAACAUAAACAAUAUGAAUGGGUCAGCUGUUGAUGAAACUGGGUCAUUAGCUGCAUCUGCUAGUAGAGCAGAUGUAUAUUCUUCAAUUGAAAGACGCAUGCAAGAAGCAGACAGUUUUAAGGUGACAUACAAGAUCGCAGCAGAGAGUAAAAGAUGUAACAAAUCAGAACAUUCUGGGCACACAGACAGAGAGGGAAAUAAAAAAAACAAA